GAUGAACGCUGGCGGCGUGCCUAAUACAUGCAAGUCGAGCGAACAGACGAGGAGCUUGCUCCUCUGACGUUAGCGGCGGACGGGUGAGUAACACGUGGAUAACCUACCUAUAAGACUGGGAUAACUUCGGGAAACCGGGGCUAAUACCGGAUAAUAUAUUGAACCGCAUGGUUCAAUAGUGAAAGACGGUUUUGCUGUCACUUAUAGAUGGAUCCGCGCCGCAUUAGCUAGUUGGUAAGGUAACGGCUUACCAAGGCGACGAUGCGUAGCCGACCUGAGAGGGUGAUCGGCUACACUGGAACUGAGACACGGUCCAGACUCCUACGGGAGGCAGCAGUAGGGAAUCUUCCGCAAUGGGCGAAAGCCUGACGGAGCAACGCCGCGUGAGUGAUGAAGGUCUUCGGAUCGUAAAACUCUGUUAUUAGGGAAGAACAAAUGUGUAAGUAACUAUGCACGUCUUGACGGUACCUAAUCAGAAAGCCACGGCUAACUACGUG
rnacentral:rRNA from 1 species